rnacentral:lncRNA from 1 species
AUGAGAUGCAUGACUAGACUAGGAAUAGUUUAAACUAUGAAUAAUCUUGAAGUUUUAUAUUUUAAUAUGAUUAAAAUAUAAAUUAGAUCUAAUUUAUUCUCUAAUUUUUUGAUGUUAUAAAUAUUAUAUUCAGAUCAAAAAAUAAAAAUAAAAUUUAAUUAAUUCAUAAGAUUGAUCUGCUGCAUGCCUAGACUAGUUGUAGAAUUAUUCUAGUAACUAUCUAGAAUAAAU